rnacentral:lncRNA from 1 species
GAACAAAGUCAGUUCUACAUCAGGCCCUUGGAAUCGCAGGCCGUCAGGGAGUGAGAAAUUGAUUGUCUUCUGUUACUUCUCCUUUUUAAUCCCCUCAUUUUCUCUGGUUGGUGUUCUUAGAUGCCAGAGGCCAGUCGCUGCUGCCAGAUGACUGGGCUCUGCUGGCUCAUCAAGGGGCCGUGGCAGCACUUGUUUCCAUGAGAGCUGGAAGACCAGAUGCAAUGGAAAAAGCACAGGCCGUUGUUUCUAAGUAGCUGGCAGUGUGAUUCACAGUGGCCUGUAUAAUGUGAAUGGAAUCUGAUAGCUCUUGGAACCGGGCUUCAUGAGUAAAGUUACCGUGUUGGCAAGCUGAGCAGAGGCGGAGUGCUUGGUUAACAUGUUCAUAUCCGGGCUUUUAGGAAUAAUCUGUGCAGUUUAACUUCAGCUCUUUCGGGUUUCCAAGUAGACUAGAUAUUCCUGAAAGGGGUAUUGCCCAAUUUCUAGGUGUAUUUAAGGGAUGUGAUUUUUGAAGGCAAAUUCCUUUUUGUGUGACAAGUAAAUUAACAUUAAACAUCAUGUAUUCUGCCAUGAAAUUCAGUGGUAGGUUGUUCUUAGGACUCCAUUUCUAGACAUGCGUGGUGGCUUAUGCCUUUGGUCCUAAGGCUGAGAUGGCUGAGGCAGGAGGGCCUAGGAGUUCAUGAUAACAUAACCAAGCCUUGUCUCAGCAAGGCAAAGCAAAAGGACAGUGAAUCCUUCUACUUCUAAAGAAGCCCGUUCUCAGAGUCAUUUAAAAGGUGUAAGAAAUAUAGUAGGCCCCAGGGGUCUCAUGAGGGCAAAUGAAAAUAGAGUUUUCAAAGUAGUUGUAAACUAACAAUGGAGUCACAGCAGCAUAAUAACUCAUAAUAAUUCAGAUGUUUUCCCAGGGAUUUUCUGACUUUGACAUAAUAAUUAUGAAUAAAUGGUGGCUGCAUUAUAUACACCUGUGUUUUGUAGUCAUGUAGUUUCUUUAUGCUAAUGUUGUUGUUCCCUAUAGUAACAACAAAAAUAUGUUCAUUAGACUAUAAAUAUUCAUAUUCAUCCUUAGUCCUUUCCUUGUCUAUCAAGCUCUAUCCAGCCUUAAUUCCUAAUGCAUUUACUGCCUUUUUUUGUUGUUGUUGUCAUUUAUUGUCUUUUUCUGGGUAAUCACUUUGCUCUUUUGUGUGGCGGGGGGAGGGGAACUCUGGAUAAUUGCAAAUGUCUUGCUAUCCUUAUGGACUAAUCUGUGUUCUGUCCGCCUACAUCAUCACAGGCUUUAUUGUGAGUCGCAGUCAGAAGAGUUCUAGGCAAAUGAGAAGGGUUUUAUGUUGCGACACCUCCAUCAGUCUCGAUUGCUGAGCUGAAGAAGAGGCUGUGCAGUGACUCUUGUGACAGCGGAGGUGCUCUGAACUCCCUGGAUGGAUGCCUCACCUCCAGCAUCUGCUCCAUCCCCAGAAGCGAGCAGCUUGUUUUCCAAUCAAGGCGUACUCUGCAAUUCGACCCUUUUUUUUGGAAAUUAGGCCCUGGUCUGCUUUGGGGGAAAACUACAGAAAGAUCUCUUGGCAGUGGAUCUUAGAGACCACCAUUUUGGAACUUUCGUUUCACCGGUGAAGAAACUGAAGUCUUGAAGUCUUAAGUGACUUGCAUCAGGUCACACAACCCGCCGUUGGUCUCUUGAGAACUAGCUCAAUCCUGGCUUUUCUGGUAUGACUCAUAGGACUUUCUUUGUAGAGAGAAGACAGAUGUUCACUCCCAGGCAAACACUAGCUUUUGAAACUGUCAAAAUUCUGUGGGUUAAGACUUCAGAGGGAUAAAUACAUAGCUAAAAACCAUUUAAAUAUAUCACAUUAUUCUUGAGGGAGAAAGACACAUACAAGGGGAAACCUACACAUCACAGAUAGGAUCUUCUCACGAGUGUGGGAAGUGAUGGCUGUAUUUAGUUUAUUUAGAAGUCAGUAGUGCUGAGCCACAGGGCAUUAUCAACAGUUGUCCUGAAGAGGAUGAUCCCAAAGGACAGAUGUGACUGGGAAGGAAACAGCAGGUAAACAUUGGCAGGGAGAGGGUGUGUCAGUUAGAAAAGAUUGCACUCAGUUCCAGCAGUAUAAUCCACGUGCCUCCUCGCCAUGAGCAACUUUUAUCUAGUGCACCUGAGAGUCAGUGAAAGGGAUUGCAGUGUACAGACCUGUAGGCCCUGCUGCCAGCAUCUGAUGCCCAAGAAUCUCCAACUUUUAAAAGUCCGUGUGUGUGUGUGUGUGUGUGUGUGUGUGUGUGCGUGUGUGUGUGUGUAGGGGGUGGGGGGUUGGAGAGAUUGCUCAACAGCUAAGUCUAUACUGUACUUACAGAGAGCUUGAAUUUGGUUUCCAGUUCCCACAUUGGGUGGCUCAUACCCCCCUAUAACUCCAGCUCCAGGAGAUCCUCAAACACCCAAAUAUACAUGCACAUACCCCCAUACAGGCAUGCAUGCAUACCCAUAAUUCAAAAUUAAAAACAAAUCUUAAAAUUUCCUAUAUGACAUGGAGUCCAGUUGGUGAAGUAUGACUUGAGGAACUGGAAG